rnacentral:rRNA from 1 species
ACUCCUACGGGAGGCAGCAGUAGGGAAUUUUCCGCAAUGGACGGAAAGUCUGACGGAGCAAUGCCGCGUGAGUGAUGAAGGUUUUUCGAAUCGUAAAGCUCUGUUGUAAGGGAAGAAUAGCAAGGAUAGGAAAUGAUCCUUGUCUGACGGUACCUUACCAGAAAGCCACGGCUAACUACGUGCCAGCAGCCGCGGUAAUACGUAGGUGGCAAGCGUUAUCCGGAAUUAUUGGGCGUAAAGCGCAUGUAGGCGGCUUUUUUAAGUCUGGUGUGAAAGCCUGUGGCUCAACCACAGAAUUGCAUUGGAUACUGGAAAGCUAGAAUCUUGGAGAGGUAAGUGGAAUUUCAUGUGUAGCGGUGGAAUGCGUAGAUAUAUG